UACUAUUUGUAAAUCUUCAUUUUUCCUAAGUGCAUCAGAGGACAACCCUUGAAAUUACUCUCCUACAUGAUUCUUAACUCCUAUUCUCUUUCUUUAUUUAUUUAUUUUAAUCAUGACCCACUUCUUUCUAUCAUUCCCUGUACCUUAUUUUUUUUUCUACUCUACCAACCACUUUUACGUAACCCCAUAACCUUUUGAAAAGUUAUUUUGUGGUUAACCAUUAUUCACCCUUUCUUUUUUUUUUUCUACAACUAUAACCAAGAACUCAUUUACCUUUUCAGGAGAAAUUAUAACUAUGCUAAACCCGUCCAUAAAGCAUUCUUGUAACAUUUCCUACACUCACUCAAGAUAUAAAUAUUGUAUACUACCCAUCACAAUUUCAUUUGGAACAUAAAGGUUCAA
rnacentral:lncRNA from 1 species